CCGUGCUAGACGGGGAGGUAGCGGUGCCCUGUAACCCGCAAUCCGCUGUAGCGGGGUUGAACGCCUAAAUGCGGUAUUGCGAUGUAAGGUCUGGGUUUUAAACUUGGUGUUGAGAGUCGGGUCCUCCGCAAUGGAUGCUUGCGAAUCCGGUCAGGUCCGGAAGGAAGCAGCCGUAAGUAAGUUGUUCCAUGUGCCGGAGGGUGGCCUAACUUGAGCUGGGGUUAAAGGUUCCGCUUGGAUCGUAAUAUCAAAGUAGGUGCACGG
rfam:Bacillus xerothermodurans strain ATCC 27380 scaffold_8, whole genome shotgun sequence.